CUUUGCUUUAAUGUUUUCUUACGUUGGGCUUUGAAGCAGAGGGCAGGAGCGAGUUCCGUUGAAAGGCCACUGCGUCGGGAGCCCCACGGCUUUAUCCCGGCACAAGAACGGGUCGGGGUGCUGGGCUCGAGGGCGGCACCCUUCCCUGGUGGGCCGAUGGGGCAGAGCGGGUCUCACAGGUGCAUCUCCUACAAACUCUCCCACUUCACCUCCCCCCUCCCCCACCCACCGCCUCACUUCCGUCAUUAGAAAUCCGCGUGCAUUGUUCAACCGAGCUUCCUCUGACCUGGAGGAACUGCCCAGAUCCACUUCCCACUCUGUUGGUGGAAGAUCCAGGCCCAUAACUAGGUCUAGGUAUGAACAAGUGUUUUGGGCCUGGCCAAUCAGAGUACUGCUUCCUCAAGACCAGCCAAUCAGAAUGUGGCUCUCACAGGUUUGGCCAAUUGGAAUGCUGCUUCCACAGGCCUAGCCAAUCAGAGCCUGACUCCCAUAAGUUUACCCAAUCAGAAUACUACUCCAACAGGCCUAGUCUAUCACUGCACUGCUCCCACAGGUCUGGCCAAUCAGAGCAUGUUUCCGCAGAUCCUUUCCAUGGAGCGUUCUGUAGCUCAAGUCCCGGAACCUGCUAUGUGUCCCUAAGAUCGCAGUGCUCACGAUCUGGGGAGAAAGUGGUGAGUGAGGAACUUGGCAGAUGUGGUCUCGCCGUGGGUGGACUUAGCACUCCUGGGCCUUGGGCUGCUGGUUCUCUGGGAGCCGUGAACCAAUGCCCAGGCCGCUGGGUACCCUGCGCCCACACAGGUGUCUGUCCCUGGCAGCCCCUGCAGACCUGGUGUCCUCUCGACCUCCAGCUGGACGUGAAGCCAGCACUCGGCCCGCACAGAAACAAGGCACCCCUGCCACUGCACCAGAACAGGUCACGUGCCUGAUAAGCCCCGGCAGGCUGUUCUGGGGAUACAGACUAGGCUGGAGGAUUAGGCCAGUGUUCCAGGCAGCUCUGACCUCCGAGCCACCCUACUCGCAUGUCCUGACCCAAAGCGACACAUGAACUCGGAAGCGCGCAGCUUCCUCCGGAGCCCCAAACAGGUGGAUACCCAAGAGUCUCAGCUCCUGCCUCCCCACCCCUUCCCCUUCUCCUGACACCCAAGGGACCCUUGUGGACUCUGUAGCUGCAGCUCGGCAGGGAGCACACUCAGGUCUUCCCUGCUCCCCCGAGCCCACCCUUUAUGAUCCUGCUGGCUCUCUGCCCGGUGCCUGUCCCUUGCUCCUCCCCAGGGAGCUGGUUCUGUCCCGAGUUCAGCGGGGUGUGGUGAUUGUCCUGCCAAUCCGACUCCUUUCCUUCUGAGCAGACGCCCUUACCCUGUGGGCCCCGGAGGUGGAGCUGCCCCAGUUCCGGCCACUCCCACCCGCAGGGACACCUUCUCUGUUCCCCCACUGCGCUGUCUUCCUUCCUGGACCAAGUUCACAGUGAUGAUGAUGCCGAAGAUUGGCCUGCACACAUGCUGGCCCCAAGCUGUCCACGGGGACCUGUCCCAUGAACUGGGGUCUAGGUACCUCCAGAGGACUGUGCAGCUGCCAAUACGUGGUAAAUAAAAGAGCAAAGACUUUCAAGAAAUGUACAAUCCAUCAGCAAUAAACAGGACGCAGAACCGAGCUCCGGCCUGAGUCUCAAACUGAGGUAUGAGGUGGAUUGCCAGCCAGGAACUCGGUGCCAGCUUGUAAGCUGCUAGGUCCUGAUGGGUACGCUAGUGUAGACAAGGGUCUUCAAAACUGGAGCCAGUGAGGAACCCCACUGUGUGCACAGCGACUGAGAUGUCCCCGCCAACACACCUCCCCAGAAGCACAGCUUCGGCCUGGGCUCGGCAUUCCCAGAAACAGAGCCAUCACUGCCUGUGACCAAGACCGGAGACAGAACCACAUCCCAUCCAGGGCUCUCUGUCGGGGUGACAGCCAUGGAGCCUCUCAUUCCCAGGAAGGGGCAGUGGUGACAGGGAUAGCACCGGACACUACUCUCUGCCAAACCAGAGUCACCUGGACCUCCUGCUACCCCGGAGGAGAAGCUGGGGCCGUGAAAUGGGUGCAGUUUCACCCCGUUUUCCACACGAGAAAACCGAGCUCAGGUGGGUGAAGUUCUGCGCCCUGUGCUUCCAGAGUGGGGUGCAGCAGCUCUGAGACCGCCCCUCGGCCAGGCCUUCCUGUACCCCGGCGACUCCGUGUGACAGAGGACAGACGCCAGCCGUCCACUCUUGUCCCUCUCAGGCACCGACAUGGCCCAGGAGCCUGGGGGCACAGGACCAUCAUCUGCACCCCCGGGCUCGGCUUUCCCAGGCUCUGCUCUGACCAUGAACACUGUCUCAGUGUCCCCCUCGGCUGCACGGGCUUGCAGGGCCCAUCUUCCUGUGAGUAACAGACACAGCUACCCACAAGCAGCCAGUGGGAAACUCAAUUAUAUGUCUCUGGUCGUCUUGUGGGCCAGUGAGCUGCCUCCCACCAAGGCCAGCAGUGAUUUCUUCUCGGAUCACACAGGCCUGCACCCUGCGUCUGUGCCCACCCUGCUGAGCAGGAGCAGCUGAUGUUCAUGGGGUGAGCACUGCGAGCCAGGAACCUACCCUGAGGGGGACUCAUUAACCCCCACAAGGGCCCUGCUAACAUCACUGACAUUUCGAAGAUUCAGAAAAGCAGACACGGAGUUCAUGGGAGCAACUCCCCAAGAUGUGUAUCUGCUCGGUCGGCCCCAGGACCCUCGUCCCCAGAGGUGGCCAUCAGGGCCACUGAGUGACCUCAUGUCCAGUGCAGCCCUGGCACUCAGACUAGCCACGUGGGCUCCAGCUGGCUGGCAUAGCAGGGCAACGUCAGCCCCACACUGUCCCCUGCAGCUGUGCAGAUGGGGACCCUUGGGGCGCCCGGCCAGGGAGACAGCAGUGGGGACAGACUGUGCCCAGGUCCUCUUGCCAAGCCCUGCCCUGGCUGGGGGAGGAAGGAGAACUUCCUGCCUGGCUGGGUCGGCUCGGAUGAGCAGCGUUUUCUUUCCACACAGAGUCCCUGUGUAGACAGUAGGCAUCUGGUCAGGACCUGUCACGCGACACACAUCACCCUGACGGCUGGAGGGGCACCGCUGGCACUGCCGGAGCCGGUGCCGCCAUCUGACUGCGAGUAGACACAGCCUUCGAACACUGGGCUAAAUCUAUUACAUUUCCUAGUAGCCACACUAAAAAGUCAAAAGGGAAACAGCUGAAAUCAAUAACAGAUUUCAUUUAACCCAAGAUACCCAGAACAUUAUCAUUUCAGCAUGUAAUCACUGCAUAAAUCGUCAUGUGGCUUCUUACAGUCUUCUUUGCUUGUCGCUGCUCAGGCUCUGGUGGGAGUCUGUGUUUGUGGAGCCCGAAGCCCACCAGGCCCGAUCCCGGCUCCGUGGUCCCCAUGUCUCGGUGCUCAGCAGGGGGGUCCGGCGUCCCAGAGAACUCGGACUGGGUGGGGCCGGAAACUCAACCUUGCGUGUAGGCCGGGGUGGCUGUUGCUCUGCACCUCGGUACUGUCCCCCGCACAUCAGAAAA
rnacentral:lncRNA from 1 species